CCUACGGGAGGCUGCAGUGGGGAAUAUUGGACAAUGGGGGCAACCCUGAUCCAACCAUGCCGCGUGUGUGAAGAAGGCCCUCGGGUUGUAAAGCACUUUCAGUGAGGAAGAACGCCUGGUGGUUAAUACCCAUCAGGAAAGACAUCACUCACAGAAGAAGCACCGGCUAACUCCGUGCCAGCAGCCGCGGUAAUACGGAGGGUGCGAGCGUUAAUCGGAAUUACUGGGCGUAAAGCGCGCGUAGGUGGCUUGAUAAGCCGGUUGUGAAAGCCCCGGGCUCAACCUGGGAACGGCAUCCGGAACUGUCAAGCUAGAGUGCAGGAGAGGAAGGUAGAAUUCCCGGUGUAGCGGUGAGAUGCGUAGAGAUCGGGAGGAAUACCAGUGGCGAAGGCGGUCUUCUGGACUGACACUGACACUGAGGUGCGAAAGCGUGGGUAGCAAACAGGAUUAGAUACCCCGGUAGUC
rnacentral:rRNA from 1 species